rnacentral:piRNA from 1 species
UGCCUAUUGGUUGAGACUAGUCUAAGGAC